rnacentral:tRNA from 3 species
GCAGGUGUCGUAUAAUGGCUAUUAUGUCACCCUUCCAAGGUGAAGACGCCGGUUCGAUUCCGGUCACCUGCUCCA